GGGAGGCAGCAGUGGGGAAUAUUGGUCAAUGGACGAGAGUCUGAACCAGCCAUGCCGCGUGCAGGAAGAAUGCCUUUGGGUUGUAAACUGCUUUUAUACAGGAAGAAUUGCAGAGACUUGUCUUUGUUUGACGGUACUGUAUGAAUAAGGACCGGCUAACUACGUGCCAGCAGCCGCGGUAAUACGUAGGGUCCAAGCGUUAUCCGGAAUUAUUGGGUUUAAAGGGUCCGUAGGCGGGCCUAUAAGUCAGAGGUGAAAUCUUACAGCUUAACUGUGAAAUUGCCUUUGAUACUGUAGGUCUUGAGUGUGAAUGAAGUGGGCGGAAUGAGAUGUGUAGCGGUGAAAUGCUUAGAUAUGUCUCAGAACACCGAUUGCGAAGGCAGCUCACUAAGCCACAACUGACGCUGAGGGACGAAAGCGUGGGUAGCGAACAGGAUUAGAUACCCUGGUAGUCCACGCCGUAAACGAUGAUUACUGGACAUUUGCGAUAUAUUGUAAGUGUCUGAGGGAAACCAUUAAGUAAUCCACCUGGGGAGUACGGUCGCAAGAUUGAAACUCAAAGGAAUUGACGGGGACCCGCACAAAAGGG
rnacentral:rRNA from 1 species